rnacentral:rRNA from 1 species
AUUGAACGCUGGCGGAGUGCUUUACACAUGCAAGUCGAACGGCAGCACGGACUUCGGUCUGGUGGCGAGUGGCGAACGGGUGAGUAAUGUAUCGGAACGUGCCCAGUCGUGGGGGAUAACGUAGUGAAAAUUACGCUAAUACCGCAUACGAUCUAUGGAUGAAAGCGGGGGAUCGCAAGACCUCGCGCGAUUGGAGCGGCCGAUAUCAGAUUAGGUAGUUGGGGGGGUAAAGGCCCACCAAGCCAACGAUCUGUAGCUGGGCUGAGAGGACGACCGGCCAGCCUGGAACUAGGACACGGUCCAGACGCCUACGGGAGGCGGCAGUGGGGAAUUUUGGACAAUGGGCGAAAGCCUGAUCCAGCCAUUCCGCGUGCAGGAUGAAGGCCCUCGGGUUGUAAACUGCUUUUGUACAGAACGAAAAGGUUUCUACUAAUACUAGGAGCUCAUGACGGUACUGUAAGAAUAAGCACCGGCUAACUACGUGCCAGCAGCCGCCGUAA